AAGGAGCUCUCUCUGUAUAUUUAUAUCCCUAGCAGGGCGUUCAUGGAUCAUCUGACACCUCGGGAUGGUCCUGGGGGAUGACAACGAGACACCCGGCACUCCACAGCGUGUUUUGGCAGGCAGGAAGGGGUGGGAACCCCGUGCCCCCCUUUCCUCCCGCAAGCCUUCGUGUUCCUUUUUGGCACAUCCCCGCAAAGAGGAGCGAGAUGCAAAACCCUGCCAAGGCUUCUCGUGGAAUAGAUGACAUUUACAUUGUUAUGCAGUUUGCUGAUCUAAACAUACCAUUGCCUUGCCUUGAUAGCCCAGGGCAAGUGAUAAUCAGCUUGUUUGGUGGGCACCCUGCCAUCUGAGACGGGGGGACACAAAUAGAGACAGUUUGUGCAUCAUCCACCAGCCUUGCAGGAACACGAUUCCCAGCUGAGAGCAUGGAAAUGUGUCUGUCUCCUGAGCGUGUGCAUGUUGGCAUGGCAAAGAGAAGUGACAGCGAUAAAUAGAAUGGGUUUGGAAUAAAUCAGGGUUGUGUUUUGUGGCUGCUCCGAGUUGGAUUUUCACGGGUGGAAAUGGUGGAAGCUCUGGGAGGCACCAAAGUCGGUCAGCUGGGCUGAGACCCCGUGGGAGCUCUGCUUCUCUCUCCAUCCCCAGAAGAUGUUUGGUGUCACAGACGAGUGCUGGUGGCAGACUGAGGGAGAAGGAAUAACCCCAGCACUGUGGAACACAGGGGUCUGCCAGUGCUGGCGAAGCCUUUUUUGAGAAGCACACAGAAAAUCUGCCAUCCCAACCCCAAAUCUCCUUCCCACUGGCCACCAGCCUGAGCAGGAGCUGUGUCCAGGUGCUCCAUCCCAGCUCUGACUCCUGAUGGAUAUUUCCCUAUUCCUGAUCUCCUUUUUGGCAGCUGGGUGAGAAGGGAAUGCCACGGCCAAGGAGGGAAUGCCAGGGAGGGAUUGCCAAGGUUCAGGCUGAAUUCCAAGGGGACAGGAGUGCUGUGUGUCACCUCUGCACCAGGGUCAGUGCCUUGUGAGCCCUGAGGAG